rnacentral:rRNA from 1 species
UACGAAGGGUGCAAGCGUUAAUCGGAAUUACUGGGCGUAAAGCGCGCGUAGGUGGUUCAGUAAGUUGGAUGUGAAAUCCCCGGGCUCAACCUGGGAACUGCAUCCAAAACUGCUGAGCUAGAGUACGGUAGAGGGUGGUGAAAUUUCCUGUGUAGCGGUGAAAUGCGUAGAUAUAGGAAGGAACACCAGUGGCGAAGGCGACCACCUGGACUGAUACUGACACUGAGGUGCGAAAGCGUGGGGAGCAAACAGG